rnacentral:rRNA from 1 species
UACAGAGGUCUCAAGCGUUGUUCGGAUUCAUUGGGCGUAAAGGGUGUGUAGGCGGCGCCGUAAGUCGGGUGUGAAAUUUCGGAGCUUAACUCCGAAACUGCAUUCGAUACUGCGGUGCUUGAGGACUGGAGAGGAGACUGGAAUUCAUGGUGUAGCAGUGAAAUGCGUAGAGAUCAUGAGGAGGACCAGUGGCGAAGGCGGGUCUCUGGACAGUUCCUGACACUGAGACACGAAGGCCAGGGGAGCAAACGGG